GUUUGCAUUGGUAGUAAUUGUAUUUAGUAAAGUUCUUCUUACUAUGUAAAUGUGUUUUAAAGUCAUGAGAGUUUAUUAGGCAAGAGGCGGGCAACUCUUUUUAUCAAUAUAUAUUGCCAAAAGUAGCCUUAUCAUGUCUAGUACUAAUAGCCUAGUGCUACAUCCUUUCUAUACAAUUUAGUUGGAAAAGAAGGUAUUUUAGUAACUUAGUAGCUGGGGUGAAUGAAACUUAGGGAUGCUAAAGGGGUUAGGGUUUUGCGUGUAAAGAUCUGCAUAGUAGAAAGUAGGGAUCACAUGGGUUGCUGCAUUACCAUUUAGAUCACAAAGCUUCACCCUUUUUUUUCCCUUUUUCAAUGGCUUUCCCUUGCUGCUCUUUUCGAUAAUUGGAAAGUUUUUCUGUUAGGCCUCUCUUUCUCAUCAAGUGAUUAGUUGUUCUUCAACAUCAGAUGGGUGGGACAUUGUUUCCCUAAAUAUGAACUCUCACUACCAUAUACCAAACUGCAACCUACCCUCUACUUAACCAUUUAGAUUGACAAGCUACAUUUCUCCUCCCCCUCAAUCAAAUCAAAACCAAAACUGCCCUUCAAAGGAAAAUCUGAAAACUCAUCCCCACCCUUUUGGUUUCUGGCUUUUGUCUCCAAACUUCGAUAGAGAAACUUACACCAAGAGAAGAAGAAACCCAACUCAAUUUAGGUGUCAAACGUGGAAAUGACUCAGCAUGGGACAGUAACAAGCACCAACCAUGAAAAGAUUGGUCCAAGAUCUCAACCACUAAGAAAUCACCGACCAACCUCUCUCACAGCGUCCAGCCAAAAAGAAGUUAAACCCCAAAGCAAAUUUCAAAUUUGGUUGACCCCAUGUAAUAUAACCUUCUCCCUUUUUGUAUAAUAAAGAUUAUACUGAUGAGGGAUUAGUGGGGUCAUAGAGCUAUAUUGGAUGUGAGGUUAGCUGCAUCUUGAUGCAUCUGCUCAGUCUAGUUAUUAGGAAAAAGGAAUCAUACUCAACCACCCAUUACUCUUUUAGUUAAUCUCCAAUCACUAAAAACACUUAAUUUUUAGAACUAAUGAUUGAACAACUGCUAAUUCCCACCAAUAGAAGUGGCUAUCAUUCAGGUACAUGGCUUGCAGUCACUGGCUUGAGAGAUUACUUUAAGGGUCUUGCCUAACAUAUCCAAUUCAAAGAAAAAUGAAGCCCCCAUGAGAUUCAAUCCCUUUCUCUUCUUACAAUCAAAAAGUGCAUAAAAAUCUAGGUGUAAAGGCAAGGAUCUGACUCUAUCUGGUCUAUAAAAGUUCACAGGAGGAGCUUGUUUGGAACAGUUCCAUUGAACAUUAAGUGAUCAGAUCAUUUUAGGUAGAACAGAACAGACUGAUGUCUCUAAUUCUUGACAAGAGAGGUGGAGGGGGAAGGAAAAGAGCUAUGAAAUUCCCAUAUACGUGUUGAAACCGAAAGUUGAGGGAAGAAAGGAGUGAGCAUUACAAUGGUAGUGAUCAAUCUUCAUAAAGGGGCACACUUCCCUCAAUCAUGAGUUUUUGAUUCAUCGGGUGAGGGGGGGCAGUUACCGGAAGACUAGAGAAUGAAUUUAGGCCAAGUUCAGAGGAAGGUUUAAGCUUUGAAAGACAAGAAUGGUGUGCCACAUGAAAUGGAAUCUAGUUGUAAUGAUCAAUGAGAGAAAGACAGAGAGGACAUGCCUUGUGUAGUGUAGUAGCAGAAUGGGAGUCCCUCAUGAUCUAUAAUGAAAUCUUUUACUUGAAAAUACAUAUAGAGACAAGGUAAGGCUGGGGCCAGAGGAAAAGGGAGCCAUCAUUCUAUGGAUGCUUGGAUGCAGUGUAUACAAGUAGGACUCAUGGGGGGUGGGUCUUCUCUUGUCCUUGGGUUGUGGCCAUGUCCACACCUUGUUGUAGCAGUGACUUAAGUGGAGGUACUGGUCAAACAACCACAUUAUUGUGAUUUAAUCUCAGGAAAAGCCAUGGCUCAUAGUCUCAUAUUAUCUGUCUUUUUUUUUCUUUUUUUGGAAAAUACCAAGGUAUCACAGUGAUACCUAUCAAACUCCAAAUCCGGACCAUUAAAUGUGUAUGGUGAAAUGUAAGUUAUUGAAUGAAGAUACAAAUAAAUAAAACCAAGGGAUAAGAGUACAAACAAAUGAGAUUAUAAUACAAA